UACGGAGGAUUAAAGCGUUAUCCGGAUUUAUUGGGUUUAAAGGGUGCGUAGGCGGGCUGUUAAGUCAGCGGUCAAAUGUCGGGGCUCAACCCCGGCCGGCCGUUGAAACUGGCGUGCUCGAGUUGGAGAGAAGUAUGCGGAAUUCGUGGUGUAGCGGUGAAAUGCAUAGAUAUCACGAAGAACCCCGAUUGCGAAGGCAGCAUACCGGCGCCCGACUGACGCUGAAGCACGAAAGCGUGGGUAUCGAACAGG
rnacentral:rRNA from 1 species